rnacentral:rRNA from 1 species
GAUGAACGCUGGCGGCGUGCCUAAUACAUGCAAGUCGAGCGAACAGACGAGGCGCUUGCUCCUCUGACGUUAGCGGCGGACGGGUGAGUAACACGUGGAUAACCUACCUAUAAGACUGGGAUAACUUCGGGAAACCGGCGCUAAUCCCGGAUAAUAUAUUGAACCGCAUGGUUCAAUAGUGAAAGACGGUUUUGCUGUCACUUCUAGCUGCUUCCGCGCCGCAUUAGCUAGUUGGUAAGGUAACGGCUUACCACGGCAACGAUGCGUAGCCGACCUGAGAGGGUGAUCGGCCACACUGGAACUGAGACACGGUCAAGACUCCUAAGGGAGGCAGCAGUAGGGAAUCUUCCGCAAUGGGCGAAAGCCUGACGGAGCAACGGCGCGUGAGUGAUGAAGGUCUUCGGAUCGUAAAACUCUGUUAUGAGGGAAGAACAAAUGUGUAAGUAACUAUGCACGUCUUGACGGUACCUAAUCAGAAAGCCACGGCUAACUACGUG